rnacentral:rRNA from 1 species
UACGGGGGGGGCAAGCGUUGUUCGGAAUUACUGGGCGUAAAGGGCUGGUAGGCGGCCAACUAAGUCGGAUGUGAAAUCCCCAGGCUUAACCUGGGAACUGCAUCCGAUACUGGUCGGCUUGAAUCCGGGAGAGGGAUGCAGAAUUCCAGGUGUAGCGGUGAAAUGCGUAGAUAUCUGGAGGAAUACCGGUGGCGAAGGCGGCAUCCUGGACCGGCAUUGACGCUGAACAGCGAAAGCUAGGGGAGCAAACAGG